rnacentral:rRNA from 1 species
AUUGAACGCUGGCGGCAGGCCUAACACAUGCAAGUCGAGCGGAUGAAGGGAGCUUGCUCCUGGAUUCAGCGGCGGACGGGUGAGUAAUGCCUAGGAAUCUGCCUGGUAGUGGGGGAUAACGUCCGGAAACGGGCGCUAAUACCGCAUACGUCCUGAGGGAGAAAGUGGGGGAUCUUCGGACCUCACGCUAUUAGAUGAGCCUAGGUCGGAUUGGCUAGUUGGUGGGGUAAAGGCCUACCAAGGCGACGAUCCGUAACUGGUCUGAGAGGCUGAUCAGUCACACUGGAACUGAGACACGGUCCAGACUCCUACGGGAGGCAGCAGUGGGGAAUAUUGGACAAUGGGCGAAAGCCUGAUCCAGCCAUGCCGCGUGUGUGAAGAAGGUCUUCGGAUUGUAAAGCACUUUAAGUUGGGAGGAAGGGCAGUAAGUUAAUACCUUGCUGUUUUGACGUUACCAACAGAAUAAGCACCGGCUAACUUCGUG